UACAGAGACUGCAAGCGUUAUUCGGAUUCACUGGGCGUAAAGGGUGCGCAGGCGGCCGAGUGUGUGAGGCGUGAAAGCCCGGGGCUUAACCCCGGAAUUGCACCUCAAACUACACGGCUAGAGCAUUGGAGAGGGUAGCAGAAUUCAUGGUGUAGCAGUGAAAUGCGUAGAUAUCAUGAGGAAUACCAGAGGCGAAGGCGGCUACCUGGACAAUUGCUGACGCUCAGGCAC
rnacentral:rRNA from 1 species